UACAGAGGGGGCAAGCGUUGUUCGGAAUUACUGGGCGUAAAGGGCGCGUAGGCGGCCUGUUAAGUCGAACGUGAAAUCCCUGGGCUCAACCCAGGAACUGCGUCCGAUACUGGCAGGCUUGAAUUCGGGAGAGGGAUGUGGAAUUCCAGGUGUAGCGGUGAAAUGCGUAGAUAUCUGGAGGAAUACCGGUGGCGAAGGCGGCAUCCUGGACCGACAUUGACGCUGAGGAGCGAAAGCUAGGGGAGCAAACGGG
rnacentral:rRNA from 1 species